rnacentral:misc_RNA from 1 species
UUUCCGUAGGUGAACCUGCGGAAGGAUCAUUAAUGUGUUUGGGCCUCACGGCUCUUCAUUCCGACGCUGUGCGCCUUCGGGCUGCACGCUGGGGGAGCAUAUAUCCACCCCUGUGCACACACACGGUGGCGAGCUGGGUAACGGCUCGCCGCUGAUCUUUACACACGUCUAAAAGUCAUUGUAUGUUUAUUUGAGAUAAAAACACAACUUUCAGCAACGGAUCUCUUGGCUCUC